GGCAAGAUGGCCGAGCGGUUAAGGCGUGUGACUCAAGUUGGACAGCUUGCCCUGUUAUGGGUUCUCAUCACAGUAAUGUGGCGUGGGUUCAAGUCCCACUCUUGUCA